ACGAACGCUGGCGGCAGGCCUAACACAUGCAAGUCGAGCGCUACCUUCGGAUAUGAGUAGAGCGGCGGACGGGUGAGUAACGCGUAGGAAUCUACCUAGUAGAAGGGGAUAGCCCGGGGAAACUCGGAUUAAUACCGUAUACCUCCUUCGGGAGAAAGAAGGCCUCUCUUUGAAGCUUUCGCUACUAGAUGAGCCUGCGUAAGAUUAGCUUGUUGGUGAGGUAAAGGCUCACCAAGGCUACGAUCUUUAGCGGGUCUGAGAGGACGAUCCGCCACAUUGGGACUGAGACACGGCCCAGACUCCUACGGGAGGCAGCAGUGGGGAAUAUUUGG
rnacentral:rRNA from 1 species